AUACGUAGGGUGCGAGCGUUGUCCGGAAUUACUGGGCGUAAAGAGCUCGUAGGUGGUUUGUCGCGUCGUCUGUGAAAUUCCGGGGCUUAACUCCGGGCGUGCAGGCGAUACGGGCAUAACUUGAGUACUGUAGGGGAGACUGGAAUUCCUGGUGUAGCGGUGAAAUGCGCAGAUAUCAGGAGGAACACCGGUGGCGAAGGCGGGUCUCUGGGCAGUAACUGACGCUGAGGAGCGAAAGCAUGGGUAGCGAACAGGAUUAGAUACCCUGGUAGUCCAUGCUGUAAAUGGUGGGCGCUAGGUGUAGGGGUCUUCCACGACUUCUGUGCCGUAGCUAACGCAUUAAGCGCCCCGCCUGGGGAGUACGGCCGCAAGGCUAAAACUCAAAUGAAUUGACGGGG
rnacentral:rRNA from 1 species